rfam:Branchiostoma floridae genomic scaffold BRAFLscaffold_204, whole genome shotgun sequence.
GACCGCGUGGCGCAGUGGCGGCAUGUUCGGCUCGAGACCGAGAGGUUGCGGGUUUGAAUCCCGCUGCUGUGC